AGAGUUUGAUCCUGGCUCAGAUUGAACGCUGGCGGCAUGCCUUACACAUGCAAGUCGAACGGCAGCACGAGAGCUUGCUCUUGGUGGCGAGUGGCGAACGGGUGAGUAAUAUAUCGGAACGUACCCUAGAGUGGGGGAUAACGUAGCGAAAGUUACGCUAAUACCGCAUACGAUCUACGGAUGAAAGUGGGGGAUCGCAAGACCUCAUGCUCAUGGAGCGGCCGAUAUCUGAUUAGCUAGUUGGUGGGGUAAAAGCUCACCAAGGCGACGAUCAGUAGCUGGUCUGAGAGGACGACCAGCCACACUGGAACUGAGACACGGUCCAGACUCCUACGGGAGGCAGCAGUGGGGAAUUUUGGACAAUGGGCGCAAGCCUGAUCCAGCAAUGCCGCGUGAGUGAAGAAGGCCUUCGGGUUGUAAAGCUCUUUUGUCAGGGAAGAAACGGUGGACUCUAAUACAGAUCACUAGUGACGGUACCUGAAGAAUAAGCACCGGCUAACUACGUGCCAGCAGCCGCGGUAAUACGUAGGGUGCAAGCGUUAAUCGGAAUUACUGGGCGUAAAGCGUGCGCAGGCGGUUGUGCAAGACAGAUGUGAAAUCCCCGGGCUCAACCUGGGAAUUGCAUUUGUGACUGCACGGCUAGAGUGUGUCAGAGGGGGGUAGAAUUCCACGUGUAGCAGUGAAAUGCGUAGAGAUGUGGAGGAAUACCGAUGGCGAAGGCAGCCCCCUGGGAUAACACUGACGCUCAUGCACGAAAGCGUGGGGAGCAAACAGGAUUAGAUACCCUGGUAGUCCACGCCCUAAACGAUGUCUACUAGUUGUCGGGUCUUAAUUGACUUGGUAACGCAGCUAACGCGUGAAGUAGACCGCCUGGGGAGUACGGUCGCAAGAUUAAAACUCAAAGGAAUUGACGGGGACCCGCGCAAGCGGUGGAUGAUGUGGAUUAAUUCGAUGCAACGCGAAAAACCUUACCUACCCUUGACAUGUCUGGAAUCCUUGAGAGAUCAGGGAGUGCUCGAAAGAGAAUCAGAACACAGGUGCUGCAUGGCUGUCGUCAGCUCGUGUCGUGAGAUGUUGGGUUAAGUCCCGCAACGAGCGCAACCCUUGUCAUUAGUUGCUACGAAAGGGCACUCUAAUGAGACUGCCGGUGACAAACCGGAGGAAGGUGGGGAUGACGUCAAGUCCUCAUGGCCCUUAUGGGUAGGGCUUCACACGUCAUACAAUGGUACAUACAGAGGGCCGCCAACCCGCGAGGGGGAGCUAAUCCCAGAAAGUGUAUCGUAGUCCGGAUUGUAGUCUGCAACUCGACUACAUGAAGUUGGAAUCGCUAGUAAUCGCGGAUCAGCAUGUCGCGGUGAAUACGUUCCCGGGUCUUGUACACACCGCCCGUCACACCAUGGGAGCGGGUUUCACCAGAAGUGGGUAGCCUAACCGCAAGGAGGGCGCUCACCACGGUGGGAUUCGUGACUGGGGUGAAGUCGUAACAAGGUA
rnacentral:rRNA from 1 species